GCAUAUAAAUUUAACAUAACCAUGUGUUUCUGUGAGCCUGGAAGGCUUAUUUUUAGUGUCAUUAGGAAAUUUGGGGUGUUUGGCAAAAUCCUUGCAAUUAUUACUGAUCCUAACUACCUGGUUUUGUCUAGUAUUAAAUGGUGUUCGUCAGGACCCAUCGCUGCGCUGUUCUGGAGUCUUCUCCUUGAGGGUGACAAAGCUCUCAGCAGUGAUUGUGUUGUCCUUGCAAAAGCAAACCCACUGGAUUUAAUGGAGGUGUUUGAAUGAACAAACCAUUAAUGAUUUGAAUCAUAUAUGACUAUGGCUCCCUUCCUCCUAGCAGUGCGAGUGCCAUGGUCUCCAUUUACAGAGUAAUUCAGUUUUGCUUAUGACAAUGCAAAUGGCAUUAUUUUUUGGGUUUGUGGUUUUUUUGGUUUUUUUUUAAAAGCACUAAUUACAGUAAAUAGCUUAUUCUAAUGUACUAGGUGUAUUUCUUAUCUAUGAGCCUUAAAACUAGUGUGCUUGCCUUAUGAGUCAGACUAAGCUCUGCUGGCAUCUCGCUCAGCUCUCUGGGCAGCACUUGCCUGAGGCUGGACAUGUGUCAGUAUGAAGCAUCUUCAGGGGCAGAGGACAUCAACAGAAUUGCUGUGGAUUAGCUUUUCUCCUAGUUGGUGGUUUUUUUUCCUGUUUCUGCAUCAUGCCUGGUUCUCAAUAUUGUUUGUGUUGAGUAUCUGCUGUGGUCUAAUGUGGGGUAGUCAGCUGAUGGGUGACAGGAGAGGAGCAGCAGAAGGUGUGAAGGGAGGUCUGUACGUGCUCAGCCUGCACCAACGUUGCGAACGUAGCUACCAUCGGGUGGAUGAUAUAAUAAUUCUUUUCCAUCUGCUCCUAUCUAUAUUUGAAUCCACAGGAAAGCGUCCUUCUUGUAAGACACAUGAAUCUCUGAUUUCAAAAGCCGUCCCUAUUUCGGAAGUUCCUUUGGCAGGCUGGCUCUGGUUUCCCUGCCUGUGCUGAGCACUCGGCGCUGGGAGAUUCUUCAGUGGGGCUCAUCAUGCAGUGUAAUGAUAUGGACCCAAAAUAGCAGGGCGAUGUCACCUAGCAACUUGCCACUGUUGCAAAAGUCUUUGUUGGAGUGGAUCAAGGUGACACUUUGCUGCUAUUUUCAGACCCACACUUCCUGAUGGCUGUUGCCGCUUUAUUCCUCCGCUUUAUUUAUUUAUUCCUUUUGCUGACUCAUAGACCUGGAAAAUACUUCUUAGGUCACUAGAAUCCAAGAUUGUGCCUCCUGAUUUAUUUUGCUGCCUAUUUUCCAGUUUUACGUGGCACACAGCAACUUAAAAUGGACUAUGAGAGGCCAGCUGUGCUUCCUUAAUGAAGCUUUCUUGCUGUGUGAGGACUUUCUUCUCCGCUCUUUAUGUUAAAAUUAAUGGAGCUGCUCAAAACUUAAUGCUCUCUUUGCCGGGAUUGUUUCCGCAGCCGGGUGCAGCUAUGGUGUGAUGGCAAGCACUGAGCGGCUGUGCAGGUACUGCCGAGGCGCAGGGCAUGCACCUUACAUGGCUGGUGCCAGGAGGUGGCUGCGUGCCCUGGCACAGCCGCUGCCUCCAGUAAAUCCAGAUGUCACCAUUUCCUCUCCCAUGGAAUUCCUCUUUCCCUCUGAGUCUGUGAUCUUUUAGCACUGAAGAGCUGCCGUUCUAUAUCUAGGUAGCUUUUGCCAGUCCGUGGAAUGAGUAUACUCAAUGGCUAUAUUUAAUGGCUAUGUUAAAACUGUUGAAGUUGCAGUCGAGAGCUCAGAAAAAGCCGCAGUCCCAGGUUGCAGCUGCAGUUUGGACCAUCUGUGGCAGUGGGCUACAUGGUCGUUGAUGCUAUAUUCACCUGCUCUCGUUUCACUGCAACUCUUUAUUGCAGUCAAUGUUUGUUUAUUACAGGAGAUAGCUGUACAAUAAAUAGUUAUUUAGUAUUUCUUGCCUGAGUCUUAAUUUAAUGUGUGGCUCUUGCAAGAACUAUACCCUACCAGCCAAAGGCAGAAUUAUUCAUUUCCUCACAGAGCCACAGGAAAAAAAAACCUUGUGGGGAUGUCUUAGUUCUUACAAACUACUGUGGGUUUGGGUUUUUUUACAGUUCCUCUGUGUGACAAGUCAAUGCAUGUGGUCUGUUGGUAUUUAGUUCUUAAGUAAGUGAGGGUCACUUGUUCAGAGCACAUUUGUCACAGACUUCAGGGCUGCCAUUUGCUGGAUUUCUACAACUCAGACUCCAGGAUAUUGAGCUGUGUGUCCUGAAAAUGAGAAAUGAGGUGGGCAUGUGUAGGUAUCAUUUCUUUGACUAGUGCAGGGAUAUAUGUGAAUUGUAUAACAGAGAUUAUCUUUGAUUAUCUUUGCCCAAAGCUGUUGUUUGCCCUAAGAUAUGUUGUUUUCUGUUCUUGUUUCCAGGCCCAUUACCUUCUAGUUUCUGGAAAAAAUAAGGCAUAAUUCCUUCACCUACAAACCCCUUGUUCUACAGAGUCGUAUUAGCUCCAGGCUGGAGGUGUAGGCCAUCCUGAGUGUGGCAGGACCCGUACUGAGCAGCUGGCUUGUGUGGGGGGCGAUGGGCUAUGUGUGGUGAAGCUGUAAGCAGGGUGUGGGUGUCUCUGCAUCCUGGCCCUGCGUUCUUUAUUUUAGUGUUUCCGUGUGGUCUCCAAAUUAUUUUUGCUCUGUAACAUCUACUUUGAAAAGUCAAUGUUGGUGUCUCUGGUUACUUGUGUAAUUAUGGACCCCCACCAUUAUGGACCUCCUUCCUCCUGCCCCAGCACUGGGCACUGAAUGCCAGGGGACAUGGAUCACCUCCCAUGCCUUGCUCCUCCUGGGCUUCCCUGGUGGUGGUCAGCAUCAUAUUUGAUUCUGGGCUUUCUUACUUCAAAAAUGGAGUAAUUAAUCUGUUUUAGAGGCAUCCUGGGUUCCUCAUCCUUUCUCACUUCAACUCUGUUUCCCUCCUAGGAAUCUGGGUUUCUUGCUCAAAACACAAGCUUUCCAUUGCCCACCAAAGCAGUUAACCCCCUCUGAUCUUUUUCUGUUCCUCUUAAACGGAAGUUGCUGUUUCCAGGCUUUUCUUUCCUUCCCGCAUCUCUUUGCUGCAGUCCUGAGAGCCAGGGUUCAGAGCCUCUCGCCCAUCCGAGGGCACUGCAGCCCAGCUCUGGGCAGCAUCCCCGCUGCAGGGAGAGCUCCUGCUGCCCCAUCCAUCACCCAGACGGGUCAGCACAGUCCUUGUGGGUGUAUGUGUGUGUGUAGUGUGGGGUGUCAUCCAUCUCAGCUCCUGCAACAUGACUCAUCCAGUCCCAGCUGCGCUUUUCUUUCCUCCUGUGGGAAGAGGGAGGAGGACAUACACGAGUCUCUAUUUCUGCUAUGAAAAUUACACCCUUACGUUAGUCGCAGAAGAAGGAGUGUGGAGGGAAGGAGCUGAGCACCCAAGCAGAGGAGCCCAUCAGCCCCACCGAGGGGGGAAGAUCCAGUGCCCCAAAAAAAUGGAUUCCCACCAUGCAGCCCAACCUGAAGCCUCUUCCUCUCUCCCUUAACAUAUUUGAGUUUUAUAGAAACCCACUGCAAAAUCAGAGAAAGAUUUGCAUGAAUUUGGCCUCUUUGAAUGGAGAAGGGCAAGUUCGUCCAGCUGCUUUCUACGCGCCAGUGUGAGAAGUUUCCUGGAGGUGACCCUGUCCCAGCCCAAGCCCUUUGCAGGGCUGUCCUGGUCCUGCUAAGGCUUUUUGCUUUUCCUUUCAAACCAGGAGCAAAGCCAGUACGGCUCAGUGAUGUGCACCUGCGCUAUGUGCCGUUUCAGUACUUAGAGAGCAAAUUGCUUUCAAACCAUCUCUGGAGUUUUAGAGGGUCCUCUGUCAGACAUGCAGGCAGCGCUGCCUUGUGCUUCUUUGGAAACACUAUCUGGUGAGCUAUGUCUUGGUGUAUAUAUGGAGGAGUUUCGUAUAUCCAUGUGUACAUGCAUAUGUGUGAGUACAUAUAUAUGUUUUACUCCUGUAUAAUUUUAAGCAGCUGUUAACACAGUAAUGGGUGCAAUGGUUUGUACCAAUGCAGGAGAUGCACAGGGUUACUACAGCAGGAUCACAUCAGUGUUGCUGAGAUUCAAAUUCGUCAUGGAUCAGAACUUGAGACAUUAAAACAUCAUGUUUUUCUAACCAGUUGGAGCUUGGUUUUGUUACCUCCUCUUUUUCAAGGCCAGUCACUGCUCUUCAGCACCACUUAAAAAAACUUGUACUCCACUAACACUGACAUGUUUCGAUGGAAGUCCUUCCCAACCCGAUGAGUGGAGGCUGGAGGUGUGGGGAUGCUGUCGCAGGUAGGACCAGCUAGGGCAGGCUGAGUUGGCAGCAGCAUCCUCUCAGGGGGCUAGAGCUGUAUUUAGGGGUGUAAUCGCAUCACUGGUUUCUUGAGAAGCAGUUUGGAAAGUAGCCCAUUGCUAGGCUUGUCACCAGGGCAUUUUCUUCCAGACCCUGCUCUCAGCAGCAGCUGAACUAUUUUAGCUGAAAUUUUCUUCAAGGGUUCAGCACAGAAGAUUUAAGCCUGAACAGUUUCAAGUUUGACAAAGCUUCACGAAACUGAAGACGGAGCUUGUAAUGGGAAGUAUCAGCCUUAAGAAGGCAGGGUUUGGCCCUUGCUCCUCAAGGGGCAUUGAGUGGUGGGGUUGUGCUGCUCUUCUUCCCCUCUAAUGAGCAAUCCAGAGAAUAAAUAACAAAACUCAGUUUGCAGAGCACUGUGUGCUGCACAUCUGACUUAUCUGUAGUUAUUUUCUGAGGGCUAUUUAUUUGCAUAGCCAGUCUCUGUGCUCAGGUCCCAGGUGUCCUAGAGCUGGCUGCCUUGGGCAAUACUGCAGGAGCACAAAGCCUCCCUGAAAUUUGGGAAUUCAUCUGAUACCUGAUCAACCUCCACUUCUGUUAUUUAAGGAUGUUAUUUAAGAAACCAGAGGCAAGAAGAGAUCCCAGGGCUCUUGCAGACCCAGCCAUCUCCCUUUUCAUGCUAACAGGUCUCACACAGCUUUCCAGACAAAGCCUGGAGAGGGGCAAAGGCUGAUUCAAACCAGCUUUAUUCUCCCCCUUCCCGGGAGUGGAAUGAUUUCCCCAGGGAUGGUGUAGGCAAGAGCUGUGCCCGCAAGCAAAGGGAAGAUAAUGUCCCACGUCCAGGCUAAUGCCCAAACCUCCCUUUUCCCGAGUCAGUCCCAUCAGCUCCUCUGCUUCUCCAUCUUCUCACCUUCCUGCAGAGCCACCCUCUCGCUGCACAGCUCCACUUCUGCUACAAUGUGGAUUUUCUCCCUUAUUUUUGGCUUCCUCUCAGUUGAUGCAGAAAUGCAGCUGGGCCCCAUCAGCUCAGGGGAAGCUCUGACCUGGGAAAGGCUCCAGGUCUCUUAGUUUGCUGCGAUAGCUCAUUCCUUUCCUCUCUCCUUUGGGAAAACCAAUUAAAAAAAAAACAGUGAGGGAGAAGCAAGUGGAGAUGGGAACUGUUUGUGCCAGCUGUGAUCUCAGUGUCUCCCUGAUCCCAUCAUGGGAAAGGUGGCACAAAAAAGUUUUGCCCACAAAAAUGAGUCUCUGCUGAUGGUCAGAGCUGGGCAGGAGGCUUUUGCACUCAACUUUGUCCAGGCUGUUUGUAUCUCCAUUCCUUCCUCCUCCUCCCGGCCCAGAAGCCCCAGACGGCUGCUGCGCUGUGUGCCAUCGCUGGGCUCUACUGUGCUUUGCCAUGUGCUGCGGCUGCUGUUGCAAGUGUGUGAUUCUGCACUGGAGCAGGCUGCAGAGCCAACGUUACCUACCUGUGCUUAAUAUUGCUGUUUAAAAAUAAUUCAUCUUGAUAUUCAAGAUUUGGGCACUGCAGGGAAAGGAAGCAGAGAGUGCUGUACCCGAGGGGCCCUGGCAGGUACGGUGCUGGUUCCCAAAGCCUUGCCAGCGCACACUGGCUCUCCUUCCUGGGCGAGCUGUCCUUUCUGCGGCUCUGCUUGUCCCCUCCCGCGCUGAGCUGCCUUUCGGUGUCCUGCCCGCCUGGCUCUUACCCUGCGGCUGCCUUGCCUGGACAGCAAUCGUCUCAAAUCCCAAAUCCUCCUCCACCUCUGCUCCAGCCCCUUUCCUUCCAGGUCCCCUGACUGGUCACCCUACGUCCCCAGCAGUGUCCCACCACCCCAGUGAGUCUCAUCCUCGAGCCUUCUCCAGUCCAGCCAGCAUCGCCAGUCCAUGGGCUCCCAGUGAGGGUCCCCCAAGCCCUGUGCCAGGGGACAAAGCUGGCAGAGGGUGACACAGGCAGAAAGAGCAACUCAGAAGGAGGCGAUGGUGUUGGCACUGUGCAGGGAGGAGGUGAAGAGGCUCUAUGGAGCGGCUGGAAGUCCCGCUGCCCGUUCCUUCGGGGUUUCGCUGCCCGUGGGGCUGCCUAAAGUGGUAUUUGCGGCAGCAUGGCCCUGGGGAGAACCGGGGGCGGUGGGCAGCCAGGCUAGCUCCCCUGCCCCGGCACUGCCUGGCCAGGGACUGGACUGGUGAAAACACGCAAACUGCAAAAGCACAUCCCAGGAGCAAUCCCAGCUGGGCUGCAGGCAGCUGCCUGCUCACAGCCCGAAACGGUUAACAGGCAGCGAGGCCAAGCCGGUCCUCCCACCGGCAUGAGAUCACUGCUGCCACCGCCAAUCCUUGAUCCAAUCCUCGCUCCGUCUGGCAGCAAAAGAGCCGGGAGCCAAAGCUGGGAGCGAGAGCAGCGGCAGCCGAGAUCCCGGCCGGUCUGGUCUGCACCGAGGCACCCCGAGCCACCGGGGGAAGCUGACCAUGUAGGAUCUGGCCUCUUCCCUCCAUCACCAGCACAGCGGUGGGUCGUGGCGGGACGGCGACCGGCGUCCAACCCAGCCACGCUUUGCGCUGGUCGUUCCUGGGUUUUCUCGCCAACAUGAUGGGCUGCAAGUCCAACUCGCUCACUUGCCUGCAGGGAGGAAAACCAGGGCUGCCGCUGGCCACGGCCACCGACUCCACCGCUACGCUCAACAAGCUGGCCCUGGCCACCGGCGGGACUGAGAAAUCCUGGUACCGCUGCAUCUUCCCCUUCGGCAUCGUCUCCGUGGUCAUUGGCGUAGCAGCGACGUGCAUCACCUUCACCAUCAAUGGCCCACAAAUGGACAUCGCUAAGGUGGUCUCGGUGGCCACCUUGAUCUUCGGGGUGGGCCUGCUGGUGGCUGCCUACGUGUGCUGGCGGGCCAAGCGGGAGAGGCAGCGGAAGAGGCAGCGCCAGGAGCCCGUCUCCUUAGAGCAGGGAGCCCUAUGACCCAGGCUGGGGGCAGAGGCUCAGCUCCACCCGGAGCCCCCUGCUUACACACCCCCCUCCGCCCAGCGCCCAGUGGUAGAGGGGUGAUGGCACCAGCUUUGUCGCACCCGAGGAGGUCCAGACCCUGCCCGAGGUCAGCUUGCUGUCAUUCUCCACCCUGCAGAGCCACGCCACCGCCCGCGCCCGGCCAUCCCUGCUCCUGUCGCACCUGCCUGCCUGGGACCGGCACGGAAGGAGCCCGGAGAAUGGCCCAAGGAGCACGUCACCAUGCACGGACCCGCUGCCCGUCCCCCCCACGGCGCUGCUCUGUGCUGGGGGAUGCCGAGACAGCCCAGCACCCCCUGCUCGGCGUCAGAAGAAACCAGUGUCACUUCUGUCCUCUUGUGUUUUUUCCCUGUCGUGAGGACCCUUACGGCUCAGGACAAAAGGAGUUUCGAAAGAAACUCGCUUGGUGCGGAGAGAUGUGGGGCAGGCUCGGCGUGGGGCUGCAGGCAGGGGAGGAGGGCUGGCAGGAGGCAGCAAACUCCGACGCGUGAGCGUGGCUGGCUUGGCACGCGAGCCCCUGGGGACAGCGGGGGUGACAAGGGGAGGUCGGGAGCUGAGCGCAGCGGUGGGGGGUGACGGACCUUGGCACCUGCCGGGGGGACGCGGGGAGCUGCGGGGCUCAGGCUGGGCAGCCCCCGUGGGUGGCAGCUGUUGGGUGUUUGCUGUUCACCGUGCAGCACGGCGUGGCAAGUGGAGGAGCAAACCGGGCUCUUUCUGUCACUGUGUGUCCCGGGGCACAGGUCCCCUCUGCGGGGUGUGGGGGGGUCCGUCUGCCUGGGAUGCCCGGGGAGCAGGGGCUCAUGCUGUGAGCUCGCAGCGGCAUCCCCCAGCUGUGGGAGUCUGAAAGCAAUUCUGUUGCUGGAGAAGGAGCUGGAGUUGGAUUAAAAAGAAGCAAAUACAUUUUUACCACUUUUUUGGAAA